AAAGUAAAUUUAAGAAAUUACUACCUCAAAAUAUUUUGUUUUUUUUUUCAGUUGAAGUUUGUAGUAGUUUAUUGAAGUAGUACUCUAACUUUUAGAUAGCUAGUAUACUUCCGAGCAUAUUGAGAUAUGGGAAGAUCCACCUGAAUACUCACCAGAUAAAGAUCUCCACCCAAGCCGCAUCGCUUUACCAACUUCGCAAAUCCUUCGAUGAAUGCUAAACAAAUUUCUCACACACCUGAAAUUUUGCUCAACCGGAUCGAAGGCCAUAAUGGUAACGGUUCAGCAAGAUACAGGCGCGAAUGAAAUAUGCCGCCAAAGGACUUGGACACAACCAGGACAAAUGAAUCACCAAGUAGAUAUCACUAGCACUGGAACUGCGUGUGGCACUGGAACCGGGACCGCAACUUUUCCUGGCCACGCUCGGAUUCGAACUGAUGGCCAGAAGUCAGCGCCAGUCUGUAGGUAGCCACUUGUGAUCAACCCGGACCCGGGCGACCCAUCUAACUAUGUGAAAGCGCAUUAGAACUGGAGAAUCGACUCGACUCGACUCGGCGCAGAACAAAAGGAAGCGCUGACAAUGCCGGCUGCCUGGUUGGCUGAGUGCCUCGGUUGGGGUUGGCUGGCUGGCACUGGCAAUGGGAUUUGGGACUGGGACUGAUGGACAGACGGAACGGAGCGGACCGGCUGACUGGCUGAAUGGCCAAGUGGAAGCGGAGCGACAGCUGACACCAUCGGCGAACGCGCCUUUUUAACGAGCGACCAGCGCGACCCCGACUAGUAUCACCCGACCCGGAGUGAUUACAUAGAGCCCAGAUGGAAUUGGAAUUGGAAUCGGCAGUGAAGACGGAGAUGCCUCUGCCCCCGAGGUCUCAUGACGUGUGCCCGCCCAGAGACUGGGCUCGGACCUAUAGCAACCGCGGGAUCCUGGCAUAUAUCCUGCCAUUUAUACGCAGCUCUAAAUAAAUGGGUUAAUGACUUGGCAAAUGCAUAUCCUAAUUAAAUUUGGGUCCCACGAGCAGCUUGAAGUUAAAAAAAAAGUAAUUGAAUAACCCACUUUUAGAAGCAGAAAUCCCACCUCUUAGCCAUGAGAUAAAAAUAUAGCUAUUUAGUGAAGAAAUUAUAAAUCAGCUCAUGUGAAGAGCUGUAUUUACACUUAAUUAAAAUAUUAUAUUGUAUUUAGACAUUAUUUGCAUUUCAGUAACUUUAAAUCUGAAAUAUAUCUGCCCUGAAACUUAAAAAAGUACACCAUUCUUCUUAAAAGGCUUUUACAUUUCGAGCUUAAAUUCUAAAAUCAACUACAGAAAUAAAAUUUAUACUCAAGAGGA